AGGCUCAGAGAUCGUGUUUCUAUCCUCAUCACUGUGUUUAAUUGUUCAAUUAAGAGGCUUUUCUUUUGGACACCGUUCUUGUUUGGAUUCAUUGGCUCUUAUACUUCUCUUUUUUUUUGCGCUCUUUUGAGCACGCUUUUUGCCAACCUCAAUAUUUCUAGAUAAGUGCUUUAUUUUACUACUCAUAAUUUUUUCAUUUUUUUUUUGGAAGUCUCACACUUUUCUAUUUUUUUUCAACUGCACUUAUCUAGUUCUCACCGGUGUCCCUACAAAAAUCAGAACCCCCAAACUUAGGAUUUUCCACAGAUCUAGAGUCAACAACACUUAUCCAAGCAAGGUAAGGUAGUAUUUGGGCUUAACGUUAU
rnacentral:lncRNA from 1 species